GACGAACGCUGGCGGCGUGCUUAACACAUGCAAGUCGAACGGAAAGGCCUGCUUUCCCUUGUGGAUUGCGGGUGCUCGAGUGGCGAACGGGUGAGUAACACGUGAGUGAUCUGCCCCCAACUUGGGUAUAAGCCUGGGAAACUGGGUCUAAUUCCCGAUAGGACUGCAGGGUGGUGCCUGUGGUGGAAAACGAUUUUCUAGUGGUUGGGGAUGAGCUCGCGGCCUAUCAGCUUGUUGGUGGGGUAAUGGCCUACCAAGGCGGCGACGGGUAGCCGGCCUGGGAGGGUGGACGGCCACAGUGGGGCUGAGAUACGGCCCGGACUCCUACGGGAGGCAGCAGUGGGGAAUAUGGCACAAUGGGGGGAAGCCUGAUGCAGCGGCGCCGCGUGGGGGAUGACGGCCUUCGGGUUGUAAACUCCUUUCGACCGCGAGGAAGCCACCUGGUUGGAAGGGUGGUGACGGUAGUGGUAGAAGAAGCACCGGCUAACUACGUG
rnacentral:rRNA from 1 species